AUUGAACGCUGGCGGCAUGCUUUACACAUGCCAGUCGAGCGGCAGCACGGGGGCAACCCUGGUGGCGAGCGGCGAACGGGUGAGUAAUACAUCGGAACAUGCCCAGUCGUGGGGGAUAACACUUCGAAAGGAGUGCUAAUACCGCAUACGUCCUGAGGGGGAAAGCGGGGGAUCGCAAGACCUCGCGCGAUUGGAGUGGCCGAUGUCAGAUUAGCUAGUUGGUGGGGUAAAGGCCUACCAAGGCAACGAUCUGUAGCUGGUCUGAGAGGAUGAUCAGCCACACUGGGACUGAGACACGGCCCAGACUCCUACGGGAGGCAGCAGUGGGGAAUUUUGGACAAUGGGGGCAACCCUGAUCCAGCCAUUCCGCGUGAGUGAAGAAGGCCUUCGGGUUGUAAAGCUCUUUCGGCAGGAACGAAACGGUGAGCUCUAACAUAGCUUGCUAAUGACGGUACCUGAAGAAGAAGCACCGGCUAACUACGUG
rnacentral:rRNA from 1 species